rnacentral:misc_RNA from 1 species
CGAAAGGAGUAUCCGUACUCUACAACCCUUUGUGAACCUACCAUAUGUCAGUUGCUUCGGCGGGAGGCCCCUGGGAGGGGCCCCGGGGCCCGGUCCUGAGCCGGGCUCCCGCCGGGGGAGCGCAACCAAAACUCUUGCUGUACCCCAGUGGCACCUCCGAGUAAUAAACAAAAAAACAAGUUA